AUUGAACGCUGGCGGCAUGCCUUACACAUGCAAGUCGAACGGUAGAGGAGCAAUCCUCGAGAGUGGCGAACGGGUGAGUAAUGCAUCGGAACGUGCCCAGUAAUGGGGGAUAGCCCGGCGAAAGCCGGAUUAAUACCGCAUACGACCUAAGGGUGAAAGAGGGGGAUCGCAAGACCUCUCGUUAUUGGAGCGGCCGAUGUCAGAUUAGGUAGUUGGUGGGGUAAAGGCCUACCAAGCCAACGAUCUGUAGCUGGUCUGAGAGGACGACCAGCCACACUGGGACUGAGACACGGCCCAGACUCCUGCGGGAGGCAGCAGUGGGGAAUUUUGGACAAUGGGCGCAAGCCUGAUCCAGCCAUGCCGCGUGCGGGAAGAAGGCCUUCGGGUUGUAAACCGCUUUUGUCAGGGAAGAAAUCUUCUGGGUUAAUACCUCGGGAGGAUGACGGUACCUGAAGAAUAAGCACCGGCUAACUACGUGCCAGCAGCCGCCGUAAUAC
rnacentral:rRNA from 1 species